CGGCCGGCUGUGAGAGGUCUAUAAAUUGGCUCGUUCCGUCUCAGUCCGCCUCUUGGCUUCACGACAGAACAUUCAACAAGUGCUACAGAAUUUGCCUUCAGACCAGAGAGAGCUUAUGGAGGAGUACUUGUUCAAGAAGGAAAGGGCCCUACUCCUAAAAAAAAAGUGAUUGCCAACAACAAAUUGGACUCCCUGGACAAGAUCCAUGCCCUUGAGAUUGAGCUCAGAGGUCUGAAGAGAAGAGCCGCCCGUGAGGACAACCAGGUCGAUGGUGGUGGUGGUGGUGGUGAUGCAUCGGCGGCCAUAUAAGGCGGCACCAUGGGCUCAGCGCUGCCGAGUGGUACCAUGUAGCACCAUGUGGUACCAUGGGUUGAGAGCAAAAUAAAAAAUGAUUGACAAAUGCUUGGUUGCUUUUUAUCAAUUCUAUGCUUUUAUGGGGAUUGGCCCCUCCCACCUGUGAAGACAUGCACCUGUCUUGCCCAAGGACACGACGGCAGUGACUAGGAUGGUGGAAGUGGGGAUCGAACCUGGAGCCAACACCUUAGGAGGAAAAGUGAGCUGAAAGUAAAAAUGUGUAGUUUUUUUAAAAUGACAAUACUAAAAUACUGGAUAAGACUCUUGAACGCAUCAUAAUUAAAUUAUCCCCUCAAUUACCCCCAAAAUGGAUUAACUUGCUGGAAUAAAAAAGACAAUAUAA